AACCCGCUGGAGGUUUCUAGGGCCUCGUAAGCCGCAGGUCGCGGGUUCAAAGCCCGCCCGGGGCU
rnacentral:tRNA from 1 species